rnacentral:rRNA from 1 species
UACGUAGGGUGCAAGCGUUAAUCGGAAUUACUGGGCGUAAAGCGUGCGUAGACGGUUGCGUAAGUCAGAUGUGAAAGCCCCGGGCUCAACCUGGGAAUUGCAUUUGAGACUGCGUAGCUAGGGUGCGGAAGAGGGAAGCGGAAUUUCCGGUGUAGCGGUGAAAUGCGUAGAUAUCGGAAGGACCACCAAUGGCGAAGGCGGCUUCCUGGUCCAGCACCGACGUUCAGGCACGAAAGCGUGGGGAGCAAACAGG